rnacentral:rRNA from 1 species
UAUCACUAAGCGGAGGAAAAGAAACUAACAAGGAUUCCCUUAGUAACGGCGAGUGAACAGGGAAAAGCCCAGCACCGAAGCCUAUGGUCAAUUGGCCAUCAGGCAAUGUGGUGUUCAGGUCGUUCCGCAGACGCACUGCUCCACCCUAAGUCCAAUAAUGAGUACGGUGGUACGGACAUGGCCCAUUGAGGGUGAAAGGCCCGUGGGGGUGGAGAUCAGGCUUGACAGUGCUACUCUGGGAGGACCUUGGAGUCGGGUUGUUUGUGAAUGCAGCCCAAAGCGGGUGGUAAACUCCAUCCAAGGCUAAAUACAAGCACGAGUCCGAUAGAGAACAAGUACCGUGAGGGAAAGUUGAAAAGUACUCUGAAGAGAGAGUAAACAGUGCGUGAAGCCGCUCAGAGGUAAACGGGUGGAGUUGAACUGUGAGUUCCGAGGGUUCAGCUGGUGAUUUUGAUUGGGCUUGGCUAAAUUGGUCGGGCUCUGGGGUCUGUUUAGCUGCAGGUCUCCGCCUUCGGGUGGGGAUGCGCGAUGCACUCGUUGAGUGUUGUGCGCCCUAGUGUUCCCGGGCCUAGUCGCCAGUGCACUCCCUCGGGACGGUCACCACGACCGGCACUGCCGUCUGUCUGUUGCGGUUAAACCUUCCGUGCUUUGUCCUUGUGGCUUUGUGCGGUCGGGAUGGCAGGUAGCUCGUUGGUUUGUUCGCAGACUUUCGGGUGUAAUCAGCUGACUGCAAUUUGGCUGUGCGGUGUGUCGGGGACGGCGGCUUGAGGUGUGUGCGUGCGUGCUAGUCUUGCUGGCGUGUCCGUGUUUGGUUGCUCAGUUGCUCACAUAGUGGGCCAAGCGGCGACUGGGACGCGUGCGGUGGGCGGUUGCGUACGUGGCACUAUUCUUGGGCCUACAGUCUGUGGUGUUGCGGUAGACUAACCA